ACAGUUGGCAGCGCUUCAAUUAUUUGCUGCAUAUUCAAAGUGGACAAUGAAGCCAAACUUACCAGCAGCAUUUUAUCUGACACUGCUGUUCCAAACCUGGAUUUCAGUCCUUACUCAUUCUUGAUAUCACCGUCUUCCUCCUAGGAAACCUUGAGUCCCCUCCUCCAAGAAUAACAAUUUGAAUGCUAAAGUUCUCCAUAUUUCCUACCUGGUGUUUUUGUCUGAAUUAGAAAACCAACUGAAGGGAAACGUUCUUCUGCAAUUGACUUCAUUCUCUGUACAUCAGUAAAAUACAAAUGAAGGAUAGCAUAGAUUGAAGAAGCAAGACUUGCACCCAGUGAGAGCGAGCAACAUUUGACUUUGAUCAAAUGCCAGAGAGAUUGUCAAGAAGCCAACAGCCCCCACCGCUUCCACACACGACAUUUAAACAAAUUAAAUCAAGCUCAGGGAAGACUGAAAUGUUUGACUUGAGCUGAAUUGGGAGGUUGUAAUCAAUUAAAGCACUGGCUAUUUCUUAUAUCCUGCCAUUGGACACUGUUCUGCUUCUGCUGAAGUCAGAGUUUCAUCAAUAACUGCAAUCAGAUGGGAAGUUCACCAGAUACAUCUGCUUUUUUUCUCCCAUAGAGUGACAGACGUGAUCAUUCAAAGGACACUAGACAGGGUUCCACUAUUCUGCCACUGGGGUGGUUAAAACUGAAACACUUCAGGAUCAGUUCUUAUUCCAUUAAAAAGUUAACAAGCACAUUCAUAUUAGGUUAUGAGGACUACUAUUAAAACACACAGGGAGUAUAUAUGAAACAGCAAAGGUAUAUUAUCCCUACAGCAUUGGCUAGUAGUUAAAUACUCUCAAAAUUCCUUGGUUUUACGUAAUGUAAUUAUUAGCAGGCAUACUAAGAAGCAACAAGUUAGCAGCAUCUGCUGUGCUCACCCUAUACAGCCGCAUGCAACACAUUAAUUUUCUCCUGACACAUUUCUAAAAGAAACAUCAGUAUAUACCUGUGAAGUGAAAUGACUUUCAGAAACUGAAAGUAAAGAAAUUCAAGGAAAAGUG